rnacentral:rRNA from 1 species
GACGAACGCUGGCGGCGUGCUUAACACAUGCAAGUCGAGCGGAAAGGCCACUUCGGUGGUACUCGAGCGGCGAACGGGUGAGUAACACGUGAGUAAUCUGCCCUUGGCUUUGGGAUAGCCACCGGAAACGGUGAUUAAUACCGGAUACGACCACUUCUCGCAUGGGAUGGUGGUGGAAAGUUCUUUCGGCCAGGGAUGUGCUCGCGGCCUAUCAGCUUGAUGGUGAGGUAAUGGCUCACCAUGGCUUCGACGGGUAGCCGGCCUGAGAGGGUGACCGGUCACACUGGGACUGAGACACGGCGCAGACUCCUACGGGAGGCAGCAGUGGGGAAGAUUGGACAAUGGGCGGAAGCCUGAUCCAGCAACGCCGCGUGAGGGAUGACGGCCUUCGGGUUGUAAACCUCUUUCAGCACCGACGAAGCGCAAGUGACGGUAGGUGCAGAAGAAGGACCGGCCAACUACGUGCCAGCCGCCGCCGUAAUAC